AUGCUCAGGUGGAGAGGAGAAGGUGCUCUGGCCGGCCCAGGGCCAAGCGUGAUUAACAAAGGCGUGGGGGGGGGGGGCGGUUGGGCAACAAAGGGGUCAUGGGACAGGAUGAGCCAACCGCAGUGCAGGCCUGUGGGGGGGCGUCUGCAGGGACUGCACCAGGUCGCCCUAUCUGGCCCUGGGGUGUGGAGGCUGCGGGCAGCACAGCAUGGCCAUCUUGGACCCUGGGCCGGCCCUCCCCCUCGACUGUCACGCUCCACAGGUCUCCCAGCUCCGAGCCGGCCGGGCCCAGGGAGGGGCAGGCUCCGGCAGUCGGUGGAACGAAUAAGGAGUGUCCAGGUCUGGCGCAGCUGGUUUGGAGGCUGGACCCGGGGCUGGGGUUUGGCUCUGCCCCCGUCCCAACAGGGACUGUGGCAUGAAGCCGCUCCAGGGUUCGCUGCGGGCCCCAGAGCUCCCCUCUUGAGGCAGACUCCCCAGAGCCUCGGGGCCCAUGGGAGGGCACCGGCAUGGCACGGCUAUCCUCCAGCCCGGCUGGUCAACUGGGAGGCUGACCCUCAGGAAUGGGGCGGGAGACCCUCGCCUGGGUCCGCCCUUCUCCCCUAGCUCCUCGGCUCCAAUGAUCUGGGCUUCUGCUACUACAGAACCCCCACCCUCCCGUCGCUGUGCACCCCCACCCACAUCCACGUAAUGCCCCGUGGUGAGCAGGUGAGGCCACCCAUCCCUGCCCAGGGAGAUCCCGGGCUGACGUGCGGCCAGGUGCCCAUGGUGCUCCACCUGGGGCCAUGGAGCCGAGGGGGCUCUGCAGGGUGCAAGGCACCUCCAGCCUGGCUGCCUGCUGCCUCCCCCUUGCACGUGGAGUCUGCGGGGGGCUGACGGUGACCGGAGGCCGGGCUUCAGCUCCGCAAAGGGCCACAGUGGCUCCGCCAGACUCGAGACGGGUCCAUGCGUCUUGAUCCAAGGCUUCCUGGGAAUAUUCGAGCCCUGCCGACGGAUGUGAUACAGAAAUACAGCCGGCUGCCAGCACGACCGGGGCGGGGGCGACUUCCUCGCCAGCAAGCGAGGAGGAACCCUGUUUUCUCCCCCGCUCAGCCCCACCCCCAGAACUGGGGGCAGCACGCGGAGACUGGAGCUGCCUCUCUCCAGAAUUAGCGAGGCUGCUGCUCCAAGUAAUUUUUUUUGAUUCCACACUGAGCUGUAACAGAAUAUUUGGAUUAUUGUUUUUCCCCUUUUCUACAAACUCAGCAAUUGAAUUAAAAUGCAGGAGUUAAUUUAAACAAAUGUCUGUCUGGUACAUCUGGUAAGAGCGGCCUUGGCGGUGGGCUGGGCCAUGUAGCAUUCAAGCCAACCCCCACGCGGGACCAGCACCUUGAUUUUGUCAUGGAUUUUUAAAUUUUGCCUGAAAUCUCCCCAGAGCCCAAGGGGAAGCCUCGGGCAGGAAGGCAGCGGUGCAGAAUGCUGCUCCAGCGGCGAGGCCUGGAGAACGCCCAUGUUCACAGGGCCAGAGCUGGGGUGCUGGGGACACACGCUUCCCAAAGCCGGGUGUUUCUGGGUUCACAGGCGGCUCUGCCUUCAAUACUUGUGGAUCCUGGAUUGGACGGUCAAC
rnacentral:lncRNA from 1 species